CUCGUAUGGUUCCAUCAGUUGCGACAUCUCCAUGUCUUAACAUGUGUUUUAUCUUCCAACCCACGUCAGUUAGUUUGGUAACUACCUUCUCUCUUCCCUUGUUCCACAUGCUCUUACCAUCAACUACCCCGACUUAAUGUGCCCAUUCUUGUUUCUGCCCUUCUGUACCGUUCGACAUUCUUGUACUACCACAGGUUUUGGCUUCGCCGCGGUCCACUUAUGUACAACCACAUGUUUUGCAGUUGUGCACCCUCCUGAUAUCAA